CCCAGAGAGCUCCGUGGUGGCCCUCUCAGCAUGCGUUCCUGGAGGCAAAACUACAGAAAGUGAAGAAGCCAUUAUUGUAAAGGUCCCAAGAAAAUUAACUAUAGGAAGCAGGUGUGGUUGGCAGAGGGUACCAGAGGGUGGGGCGAGAACAUGUUCUAUCGCUGGACCUCCAUGGUGGUUACCCAGAUUUUUAAAUAAUUAUUCAUUAAAUUGUACGUUUACGUUUUAUGUGAUUGUAGGCAUGUGUGUUUUAAAUCACAAUUCGAAAUUGUGAGUAAAAAUAAAACAUAGUUUUUAAAAAUUGUA